UACGUAGGGUGCAAGCGUUGUCCGGAAUUAUUGGGCGUAAAGAGCUCGUAGGUGGCCUGUCGCGUCGGCUGUGAAAACUCGGGGCUCAACUCCGAGCUUGCAGUCGAUACGGGCAGGCUAGAGUUCGGCAGGGGAUACUGGAAUUCCUGGUGUAGCGGUGAAAUGCGCAGAUAUCGCUUGGAACGCCGAAGGUGAAAACAGGCUGCUGGGGUUGCGCCGACGCUGAGACACGAAAGCCAGGGGAGCAAACGGG
rnacentral:rRNA from 1 species